rnacentral:rRNA from 1 species
GACGAACGCUGGCGGCGUGCUUAACACAUGCAAGUCGAACGGUAAGGCCCUUCGGGGUACACGAGUGGCGAACGGGUGAGUAACACGUGGGUGAUCUGCCCUGCACUUCGGGAUAAGCCUGGGAAACUGGGUCUAAUACCGGAUAGGACCACUGCCUGCAUGGGUGGUGGUGGAAAGCUUUUGCGGUGUGGGAUGGGCCCGCGGGCCUAUCAGCUUGUUGGUGGGGUGAUGGCCUACCAAGGCGACGACGGGUAGCCGGCCUGCGAGGGUGACCGGCCACCGUGGGACUGAGAUACGGCCCAGACUCCUGCGGGAGGCAGCAGUGGGGAAUAUUGCACAAUGGGCGCAAGCCUGAUGCAGCGACGCCGCGUGAGGGAUGACGGCCUUCGGGUUGUAAACCUCUUUCAGCACCGACGAAGCGCAAGUGACGGUAGGUGCAGAAGAAGGACCGGCCAACUACGUGCCAGCCGCCGCGGUAA